rnacentral:rRNA from 1 species
AGCAGCCGCGGUAAUUCCAGCUCCAAUAGCGUAUAUUUAAGUUGUUGCAGUUAAAAAGCUCGUAGUUGAAUUUCGAGAUCAAAUUGUUGGUCGUGCCUCGGUACGUACUGGCAUUAUUGAUUUCUCCCUUCUGAAGAACCACGAUGUCAUUAAUUUGGUGUCGUGGGGAAUCAGGACCGUUACUUUGAAAAAAUUAGAGUGUUUAAAGCAGGCUCACGCUUGAAUACAUUAGCAUGGAAUAAUGAAAUAGGACGUUUGAUUCUAUUUUGUUGGUUUCUAGGACCGACGUAAUGAUUAAUAGGGAUAGUUGGGGGCAUUAGUAUUCAAUUGUCAGAGGUGAAAUUCUUGGAUUUAUUGAAGACUAACUACUGCGAAAGCAUUUGCCAAGGAUGUUUUCAUUAAUCAAGAACGAAAGUUAGGGGAUCGAAGACGAUCAGAUACCGUCGUAGU